CGUUGCCAACCGUACGGUAAUUACCGUAUUUGUACGGUAAAUUGAUGCCAAAUACGGUAUACGGUCCGAAGGGGCUACCGUACGCCAAAAUACGGUAAUUUCGUAAUUUCAAUGCCUCAGUUAUUAGAAAUGUUUUUUGAAAGAUGCCAGCUUUUCUACUCAUGUCUCUGUGUAGAAAUUAGAAAACGGUAUGAUUUCGACAAUUUUAUUUUGCCAAAAUUGCAGAUAUUUGUGCCUAAAAAUGCAGUUUCUUCAGAUAUACACCAGCAGUUCCCAUCAUUAGCUCAUUUGUUCCAAAAUAUGACACGUUUUUAUGACAGUAGUGAAGGUCAACUAAUCGAUGAACAGUGGAGGUUGCUGCCAGAUUACCAUUUUACUGCUGAUGAAGAAAAAAAAUAGACAUCAACGAGGACAUUGACAUAUUCUGGGGAAAACUCCAAAAAUAUACAAAUGAAAUGGGUGUAUUUGAAUUCCAGAAAUUGUCACAGUUCGUACUGAAUAUAUUAUCCCUUCCGCACUCAAAUGCUGAAUGCGAAAAAGAGUCUCCAGUAAAAUAAACUUGGUUAAAACAAAAUCAAGAAAUAAGUUAAUAACUAAUACAAUCAAUGGUUGUUUAUUAACGUCUCAGUGUGUGAAAAAAGAUGGUAACUGCGUAGAUUUUACACCUACUCAGAAUAUGUAUGCAAGAAUGAACAAAAUUGAUAUGUAUUCUAAUUCUUCCAGUUCUAGUAUCGAAGUUGAUGAAGAUGAAUUUGUCAUAGACGGUUGAAAUAUAAAUUUUUGAAAAGAGGACACAUGAAUGCAAAUCAUAUUUAUGUUACAAUGGAAUCAGAAGGUUUUACAGAAGCAAGUAGCAGUUCGGCCACCCCCAAACGUAGUGGUAGUAAGCUGAGCCCCUUAACCAACCAGAGAAUUGAAAGAAUGAAGGCUAAAAUCAAUUCUUUGAAGUGCAAAAUAUUUAGGCGUAAAGUUCCCCACUGUUUUUGCAAAGGAAGACCCAUCGAGGCUACCAAUAGAACAAAUAUCUCAAGAUUGAUAUGUGAAUC